rnacentral:tmRNA from 1 species
GGGGCUGAUAUCGUUUCGACAAUUUAAUUUUACUGAAGGCACAAGUCGAGCAUUCGUCUUACUCGUAAAAUAUGGCGUUUAAAAAAUUAAAUGCAAAAUUCUUUAAUUCAAUUUUUCCAACUCGUCCACAAUUAGCAUUCGCUUAAUGUCCGGUUUGGCGACAUAAAAUUACUGGGCUCAUUUUAUGUUGUAAUUUGCUCGCUGCUAAUUUUAGCUAAGAGAAUUUUUUCAAUCUCUGUUUGUAAACUUGUAUAAUGUCUUUAGAUGAAUUAAUAUUGGACGUGGGUUCAAUUCCCACCAGCUCCACUA